GAGUUUGAUCAUGGCUCAGAACGUACGCUGGCGGCACGCCUAACACAUGCAAGUCGAACGAAGUAGCAAUACUUAGUGGCAGACGGGUGAGUAACAUGUAGGUAUCUGCCCUUUGGCCUGGAAUAACACGAGGAAACUUGUGCUAAUACCGGAUAAGUCUUUACGGAGAAAGCUUUAUGCACCAUUGGAUGAGCCUGCACUUGAUUAGUUUGUUGGUGGGGUAAUGGCCUACCAAGACUGUGAUCAAUAGCUGAUUUGAGAGGAUGAUCAGCCACAUUGGGACUGAGACACGGCCCAAACUCCUACGGGAGGCAGCAGUGGGGAAUCUUGCACAAUGGAGGAAACUCUGAUGCAGCGAUGCCGCGUGAGUGAAGAAGGCCUUUGGGUUGUAAAGCUCUUUCGUCGGGGAAGAAAAUGACUGUACCCGAAUAAGAAGGUCCGGCUAACUUCGUGCCAGCAGCCGCGGUAAUACGAAGGGACCUAGCGUAGUUCGGAAUUACUGGGCUUAAAGAGUUCGUAGGUGGUUGAAAAAGUUGGUGGUGAAAUCCCAGAGCUUAACUCUGGAACUGCCAUCAAAACUUUUCAGCUAGAGUUUGAUAGAGGAAAGCAGAAUUUCUAGUGUAGAGGUGAAAUUCGUAGAUAUUAGAAAGAAUACCAAUUGCGAAGGCAGCUUUCUGGAUCAUUACUGACACUGAGGAACGAAAGCAUGGGUAGCGAAGAGGAUUAGAUACCCUCGUAGUCCAUGCCGUAAACGAUGUGUGUUAGACGUUGGAAAUUUAUUUUCAGUGUCGCAGCGAAAGCGAUAAACACACCGCCUGGGGAGUACGACCGCAAGGUUAAAACUCAAAUGAAUUGACGGGGACCCGCACAAGUAGUGGAGCAUGUGGUUUAAUUCGAAGAUACGCGCAGAACCUUACCAACACUUGACAUGUUCGUCGCGACUUUAAGAGAUUAAAGUUUUCGGUUCGGCCGGACGAAACACAGGUGCUGCAUGGCUGUCGUCAGCUCGUGUCGUGAGAUGUUGGGUUAAGUCCCGCAACGAGCGCAACCCUCACUUUUAGUUGCCAUCAUUAAGUUGGGCACUCUGAAAGAACUGCCAGUGAUAAGCUGGAGGAAGGUGGGGAUGACGUCAAGUCCUCAUGGCCCUUACGUGUUGGGCUACACACGUGCUACAAUGGUAUCUACAACAGGAAGCAAGACUGCGAGGUCAAGCAAAUCCUCAAAAGAUACCUCAGUUCGGAUUGCACUCUGCAACUCGAGUGCAUGAAGCUGGAAUUACUAGUAAUCGUGGAUCAGCGUGCCACGGUGAAUGCGU
rnacentral:rRNA from 1 species